AUAUGAAGUUGAUCGUAUAGGAUGAGAACCUGUUUUUAAGAAAUAGGGUUCGAUUCGAGCCGUUUUUUGGCGGGAAAACAUCGGAGCCUGCGACGAUGGCCCGAAGGGCGCAGUAAUCCUAUACGACCCACCA
rnacentral:sRNA from 1 species